rnacentral:rRNA from 1 species
AAUGAACGCUGGCGGUAUGCCUAACACAUGCAAGUCGAGCGGCAGCACAGUAAGCUCUUGCUCUUGCUGUUGGCGAGUGGCGGACGAGUAACGAGUACAUCACAAUCUUCUUUUUCUUGGGUAAUUACGGAGGGCAACUUACACUACUACCUCAUACUACCUACGGGUUAAAUCAGAAGAUCUUCGAACCUUUCUCGUUUGAUAUAGCCGAUGUCGGAUUAGCUAGUUGGCUUGGUAAAGUCCCACCAAGGCGACGAUCCGUAGCUUGCCUGAGAGGAUGAUCAGCCACACUGGAACUGAGACACGGUCCAGACUCCUACGGGAGGCAGCAGUGGGGAAUCUUGGACAAUGGGCGAAAGCCUGACGCAGCCACACCGCGUGGGUGAAGAAGGUCUUCGGGUCGUAAAGCCCUGUUGUUGGGAAAGAACAGAAGUAGGUUAAUCCCUGGAUGUCUUGACGGUACCCAAAGAAUAAGCAACGGCUAACUUCGUG